AGAGUUUGAUCAUGGCUCAGGAUGAACGCUGGCGGCGUGCUUAACACAUGCAAGUCGAACGAAGCAUGAGCGACUGACUUCUUCGGGACGAAGUCACACAUGACUUAGUGGCGGACGGGUGAGUAACGCGUGAGUAACCUGCCUUACACAGGGGGACAACAGUUGGAAACGACUGCUAAUACCGCAUAAGCACACAGUACCGCAUGGUACGGGGUGAAAAGAUUUAUCGGUGUAAGAUGGACUCGCGUCUGAUUAGUUAGUUGGCGGGGUAACGGCCCACCAAGACGACGAUCAGUAGCCGACUUGAGAGAGUGGUCGGCCACAUUGGGACUGAGACACGGCCCAAACUCCUACGGGAGGCAGCAGUGGGGAAUAUUGCACAAUGGGGGGAACCCUGAUGCAGCGACGCCGCGUGAGCGAAGAAGUAUUUCGGUAUGUAAAGCUCUAUCAGCAGGGAAGAUAAUGACGGUACCUGACUAAGAAGCUCCGGCUAAAUACGUGCCAGCAGCCGCGGUAAUACGUAUGGAGCAAGCGUUAUCCGGAUUUACUGGGUGUAAAGGGAGCGUAGACGGUAAGGCAAGUCUGAUGUGAAAGCCCGAGGCUCAACCUCGGAACUGCAUUGGAAACUGUCCUACUGGAGUGCAGGAGAGGUAAGCGGAAUUCCUAGUGUAGCGGUGAAAUGCGUAGAUAUUAGGAGGAACACCAGUGGCGAAGGCGGCUUACUGGACUGUAACUGACGUUGAGGCUCGAAAGCGUGGGGAGCAAACAGGAUUAGAUACCCUGGUAGUCCACGCCGUAAA
rnacentral:rRNA from 1 species